rnacentral:tRNA from 1 species
AGUAGUGUGGUGUAGUGGCUUGAGUGUUGGACUACAACUCUCAAGACCAGGGUUCAAAUCCCUGCUCAGCCA